rnacentral:rRNA from 1 species
GAUGAACGCUGGCGGCGUGCCUAAUACAUGCAAGUCGAGCGAACGGACGAGAAGCUUGCUUCUCUGAUGUUAGCGGCGGACGGGUGAGUAACACGUGGAUAACCUACCUAUAAGACUGGGAUAACUUCGGGAAACCGUAGCUAAUACCGGAUAAUAUUUUGAACCGCAUGGUUCAAAAGUGAAAGACGGUCUUGCUGUCACUUAUAGCUGGAUCCGCGUUGCAUUAGCUAGUUGGUAAGGUAACGGCUUACCAAGGCAACGAUGCAUAGCCGACCUGAGAGGAUGAUCGGCCACACUGGAACUGAGACACGGUCCAGACUCCUACGGGAGGCAGCAGUAGGGAAUCUUCCGCAAUGGGCGAAAGCCUGACGGAGCAACGCCGCGUGAGUGAUGAAGGUCUUCGGAUCGUAAAACUCUGUUAUUAGGGAAGAACAUAUGUGUAAGUAACUGUGCACAUCUUGACGGUACCUAAUCAGAAAGCCACGGCUAACUACGUG